CGCAUGUGGUCCAUCUUCCUCGUGGACAAGCGGUAGCUUUCGGCUUUUGGUGCACCCGGCUGGAGAUGGUCGCUCGGGAUAU